rnacentral:rRNA from 1 species
UACGUAGGGUGCGAGCGUUGUCCGGAAUUAUUGGGCGUAAAGGGCUCGUAGGCGGUUUGUCGCGUCGGGAGUGAAAACUCAGGGCUUAACCCUGAGCCUGCUUCCGAUACGGGCAGACUAGAGGUAUGCAGGGGAGAACGGAAUUCCUGGUGUAGCGGUGGAAUGCGUAGAGAUCCGGAGGAACACCAGCGGCGAAGGCGGCAUCCUGGACUGGUCCUGACACUCAGGAGCGAAAGCGUGGGGAGCGAUCCGG